UAGCAGAACCCGACAUAAAUGGCUUCUUGAAAUUGGAAAAGGGAAAAGGAAAGUUAUUUAUUAGUGCAUUCCAGUAAGGAAGUUGGACUCUUCGAUUUUGUUUACACACUUUCAUACUAUUCGUUACCUUUUUGGAGCAUUGAAUUUUUAUUAUGGAGGAAAUUGGGGUUUCUUCUACAUUGAUUACAGUGUAAUCAUAUUGGUUCUUCGCAGAGCGUUAAAAAUCUCUGUGGCGGCUGAGAAAGACUGGACUGAAGGGGAAGAUAAAGAAGGAACUGGGUUUCAUCAAUCUUACUGGAAAAUCAUAUUCUUUUACUUCAAUUUUGGGUGUGUUUUCUCUUUUAUCAAAAAGUUAUGAUUUUUAACAUUGGUUCUCUGUGAUUGUGUGUA